rnacentral:rRNA from 1 species
UAACUUCGGGAGAAGGUACGCUGUUGUUGGUGAUGGAACUCGCUUCCUGAGCUGACGACAGCCGCAGAAACCAGGCCGCUGCAACUGUUUAUUAAAAACAUAGCACUCUGCAAACACGAAAGUGGACGUAUAGGGUGUGAUGCCUGCCCGGUGCUGGAAGGUUAAUUGAUGGGGUUAGCGUAAGCGAAGCUCUUGAUCGAAGCCCCAGUAAACGGCGGCCGUAACUAUAACGGUCCUAAGGUAGCGAAAUUCCUUGUCGGGUAAGUUCCGACCUGCACGAAUGGCAUAAUGAUGGCGGCGCUGUCUCCAGCAGAGGCUCAGUGAAAUCGAAAUCGCUGUGAAGAUGCAGUGUACCCGCGGCUAGACGGAAAGACCCCGUGAACCUUUACUGCAGCUUGACACUGAACUUUGACCUUACUUGUGUAGGAUAGGUGGGAGGCUUUGAAGCUGGAACGCUAGUUCCAGUGGAGCCGUCCUUGAAAUACCACCCUGGUAAUGUUGAGGUUCUAACUCUGUCCCGUGAUCCGGGACGAGGACCGUGUCUGGUGGGUAGUUUGACUGGGGCGGUCUCCUCCUAAAGAGUAACGGAGGAGUACGAAGGUGCGCUCAGCGUGGUCGGAAAUCACGCGUAGAGUAUAAAGGCAAAAGCGCGCUUAACUGCGAGACCCACAAGUCGAGCAGGUACGAAAGUAGGUCUUAGUGAUCCGGUGGUUCUGUAUGGAAGGGCCAUCGCUCAACGGAUAAAAGGUACUCUGGGGAUAACAGGCUGAUACCGCCCAAGAGUUCAUAUCGACGGCGGUGUUUGGCACCUCGAUGUCGGCUCAUCUCAUCCUGGGGCUGAAGCAGGUCCCAAGGGUAUGGCUGUUCGCCAUUUAAAGAGGUACGCGAGCUGGGUUUAGAACGUCGUGAGACAGUUCGGUCCCUAUCUACCGUGGGCGCUGGAAAUUUGAGAGGAUCUGCUCCUAGUACGAGAGGACCAGAGUGGACGAACCUCUGGUGUACCGGUUGUGACGCCAGUCGCAUCGCCGGGUAGCUAUGUUCGGAAGGGAUAACCGCUGAAAGCAUCUAAGCGGGAAGCCUACCUCAAGAUAAGAUUUCCCUAGGACUUUAUGUCCUCUAAAGAGCCGUUCGAGACUAGGACGUUGAUAGGUUGGAUGUGGAAGCAUAGUGAUAUGUGAAGCUGACCAAUACUAAUUGCUCGUGAGGCUUGACUA